rnacentral:rRNA from 1 species
AUACGGAGGGUGCAAGCGUUGUUCGGAAUUAUUGGGCGUAAAGAGCAUGUAGGCGGUUCGUUAAGUCUGAUGUGAAAGCCCGGGGCUCAACCCCGGAAGUGCAUUGGAUACUGGCGAACUUGAGUACGGGAGAGGAAAGUGGAAUUUCGAGUGUAGGGGUGAAAUCCGUAGAUAUUCGAAGGAACACCAGUGGCGAAGGCGGCUUUCUGGACCGAUACUGACGCUGAGGAACGAAAGCGUGGGGAGCGAACAGGAUUAGAAACCCCGGUAGUCC